rnacentral:rRNA from 1 species
UUGGAAACGAAGAGUAAUACCGUAUACGCCCUUUGGGGGAAAGAUUUAUCGGAGAAGGAUCGGCCCGCGUUAGAUUAGAUAGUUGGUGGGGUAACGGCCUACCAAGUCUACGAUCUAUAGCUGGUUUUAGAGGAUGAUCAGCAACACUGGGACUGAGACACGGCCCAGACUCCUACGGGAGGCAGCAGUGGGGAAUCUUAGACAAUGGGCGCAAGCCUGAUCUAGCCAUGCCGCGUGAGUGAUGAAGGCCUUAGGGUCGUAAAGCUCUUUCGCCUGUGAUGAUAAUGACAGUAGCAGGUAAAGAAACCCCGGCUAACUCCGUGCCAGCAGCCGCGGUAAUACGGAGGGGGUUAGCGUUGUUCGGAAUUACUGGGCGUAAAGCGCACGUAGGCGGAUUGGAAAGUUGGGGGUGAAAUCCCGGGGCUCAACCCCGGAACUGCCUCCAAAACUAUCAGUCUAGAGUUCGAGAGAGGUGAGUGGAAUUCCAAGUGUAGAGGUGAAAUUCGUAGAUAUUUGGAGGAACACCAGUGGCGAAGGCGGCUCACUGGCUCGAUACUGACGCUGAGGUGCGAAAGUGUGGGGAGCAAACAGGAUUGGAUACCCUGGUAGUCCACACCGUAAACGAUGAAUGCCAGACGUCAGCAAGUAUACUUGUUGGUGUCACACCUAACCGGAUUAAGC